CCCUUAGAUGUCCUGGGCCGCACGCGCGCUACACUGACAGAGCCAACGAGUUUAUCACCUUGACCGAUAGGCCUGGGUAAUCUUGUUAAACUCUGUCGUGCUGGGGAUAGAGCAUUGCAAUUAUUGCUCUUCAACGAGGAAUGCCUAGUAAGCGCGUGUCAUCAGCAUGCGUUGAUUACGUCCCUGCCCUUUGUACACACCGCCCGUCGCUACUACCGAUUGAAUGGCUUAGUGAGCCUUUGGGAUUGGCAGCUUGUACCGGCAACGGUAGCAGGCCGCUGAAAACUUAGGCAAACUUGGUCAUUUAGAGGAAGUAAAAGUCGUAACA
rnacentral:rRNA from 1 species